rnacentral:misc_RNA from 1 species
CUUUGAUAGUGGCACGAUCAAGGCCAGCAUUGCUAUUUGGUUCGUUGGGUUUCUGUUUUUGGAUUGGGGUAUCAGUGAUAGCGGUUGUGGUGGCGGUGGUGUUAGGAGAAAGGACACAGUAGUGCCAUAUCGGUACCGGUGCUUCUUGUGUUAUCAUCAUCAGAUUCAUGAGAGAAUUGGAGGUACUAGAAGAAGGGGAGGUGGGGGCGUUGGACGAAUGGGGUGGAGUUUGUUUCGGCGAUGGGAAGAGAGGAAAUGAGGAGGCAAUGAAAG